rnacentral:rRNA from 1 species
GUGGAUCAGUGGCGAACGGGUGAGUAACACGUGAGCAACCUGCCCUGGACUCUGGGAUAAGCGCUGGAAACGGCGUCUAAUACUGGAUAUGAGACGUGAUCGCAUGGUCGUGUUUGGAAAGAUUUUUCGGUCUGGGAUGGGCUCGCGGCCUAUCAGCUUGUUGGUGAGGUAAUGGCUCACCAAGGCGUCGACGGGUAGCCGGCCUGAGAGGGUGACCGGCCACACUGGGACUGAGACACGGCCCAGACUCCUACGGGAGGCAGCAGUGGGGAAUAUUGCACAAUGGGCGAAAGCCUGAUGCAGCAACGCCGCGUGAGGGAUGACGGCCUUCGGGUUGUAAACCUCUUUUAGCAGGGAAGAAGCGAAAGUGACGGUACCUGCAGAAAAAGCGCCGGCUAACUACGUGCCAGCAGCCGCGGUAAUACGUAGGGCGCAAGCGUUAUCCGGAAUUAUUGGGCGUAAAGAGCUCGUAGGCGGUUUGUCGCGUCUGCUGUGAAAUCCCGAGGCUCAACCUCGGGCCUGCAGUGGGUACGGGCAGACUAGAGUGCGGUAGGGGAGAUUGGAAUUCCUGGUGUAGCGGUGGAAUGCGCAGAUAUCAGGAGGAACACCGAUGGCGAAGGCAGAUCUCUGGGCCGUAACUGACGCUGAGGAGCGAAAGGGUGGGGAGCAAACAGGCUUAGAUACCCUGGUAGUCCACCCCGUAAACGUUGGGAACUAGUUGUGGGGACCAUUCCACGGUUUCCGUGACGCAGCUAACGCAUUAAGUUCCCCGCCUGGGGAGUACGGCCGCAAGGCUAAAACUCAAAGGAAUUG